GAUCCGCUGCGUACAUCGUUUCUCAAAACGUGAUUAUUUUCGACGACGAUUAUCAAAUAGUACGAUUAAUGAUCUUCGCAAUUAAAGAUUCGUGGAUGUAUCAAGGCGGCAGGUAUUUAUGAAAACAAAUAUCUCGCGCGAUUUAAAGUAGGAGCAAUACAGAAGGUGAAUUAUAAAUUGCCAUUUCGUCGCGACAAAUUUAUAACUUAUAAUUGCUUCCUCAAUGCGUGUAUUCAUUCCCAAUGUCGACGGAAUAGAAAGAAACAGAAUAUUCGGCAUGAAAUUAUAAAGUUAAAUAUUCGAUAUAAUAUUUCGGCGCCAGACGAUACGCCGACUGGCCUUGAAGUUUGUUUAUGUAGCGCCCCCUCGCGCUGUGCGUGUAUGUAUUACUGUGUUAUUCGCACGACGUUACUCGAGUCGGCAAGUCGCGAUCCGCCACGUACAUCGUUUCUCGAAACGUAAUUAUUUUCGACGACGAUUAUCAAUUAGUACGAUUAAUUAUCUUCGCAAUUAAAGAUUCGUGGACGUAUCAAGGCGGCAGGUAUUUAUGAAAACAAAUAUCUCGCGCGAUUUAAAGUAGAAGCAAUAGAGAAGAUGAAUUAUAAAUUGCCAUUUCGUCGCGACAAAUUUAUAACUUAUAAUUGCUUCCUCAAUGCGUGUAUUCAUUCCCAAUGUCGACGGAAUAGAAAGAAACAGAAUAUUCGGCAUGAAAUUAUAAAGUUAAAUAUUCGAUAUAAUAUUUCGGCGCCAGACGAUACGCCGACUGGCCUUGAAGUUUGUUUAUGUAGCGCCCCCUCGCGCUGUGCGUGUAUGUAUUACUGUGUUAUUCGCACGACGUUACUCGAGUCGGCAAGUCGCGAUCCGCCACGUACAUCGUUUCUCGAAACGUAAUUAUUUUCGACGACGAUUAUCAAUUAGUACGAUUAAUUAUCUUCGCAAUUAAAGAUUCGUGGACGUAUCAAGGCGGCAGGUAUUUAUGAAAACAAAUAUCUCGCGCGAUUUAAAGUAGAAGCAAUAGAGAAGAUGAAUUAUAAAUUGCCAUUUCGUCGCGACAAAUUUAUAACUUAUAAUUGCUUCCUCAAUGCGUGUAUUCAUUCCCAAUGUCGACGGAAUAGAAAGAAACAGAAUAUUCGGCAUGAAAUUAUAAAGUUAAAUAUUCGAUAUAAUAUUUCGGCGCCAGACGAUACGCCGACUGGCCUUGAAGUUUGUUUAUGUAGCGCCCCCUCGCGCUGUGCGUGUAUGUAUUACUGUGUUAUUCGCACGACGUUACUCGAGUCGGCAAGUCGCGAUCCGCUACGUACAUCGUUUCUCGAAACGUAAUUAUUUUCGACGACGAUUAUCAAUUAGUACGAUUAAUUAUCUUCGCAAUUAAAGAUUCAUGGACGUAUCAAGGCGGCAGGUAUUUAUGAAAACAAAUAUCUCGCGCGAUUUAAAGUAGAAGCAAUAGAGAAGAUGAAUUAUAAAUUGCCAUUUCGUCGCGACAAAUUUAUAACUUAUAAUUGCUUCCUCAAUGCGUGUAUUCAUUCCCAAUGUCGACGGAAUAGAAAGAAACAGAAUAUUCGGCAUGAAAUUAUAAAGUUAAAUAUUCGAUAUAAUAUUUCGGACCCAGAUAAUACGUCGACUGGCCUUGAAGUUUAUUUACGUAGCGCCCUCACGCUGUGUGUGUAUGUAUUAUUUUUAUUCGCGUGACGUCACUCGAGUCGGCAGGUCGCGAUCCGGUGCGUACAUCUUUUCUCAAAACGUAAUUAUUUUCGACGACGAUUAUCAAUUAGUACGAUUAAUUAUCUUCGCAAUUAAAGAUUCGUGGACGUAUCAAGGCGGCAGGUAUUUAUUAAAACAAGUAUUUCGCACGAUUUAAAGUAGAAGCGAUAGACAAGAUGAAUGAUAAAUUGCCGUUUCGUCGCGACAAAUUUACGACCUAUAAUUAUUUCCUCAAUGCGUGUAUUCAUUCCCAAUGUCGACGGAAUAGAAUUGAAUCUCAUUGAACAUUGCUGAACAAUGCUCCAUGAAAGUGCGCUUUGCUUCGAGAAACGGGCCCGCUUGAAUUGGUUAGAUUAGGUUAGUUCGAUCGAUUGCUCGAUAAGGGCAGGCACAAUCGUCGUCCCGCAUCUCUUGCCCCGAACACCAUACACCAAUAGUGUCGCCGUAUAUUUUUUAGUUCUCGCUCGAAAUUAUCUCGCCGACUCGUAGUGCGAAACGGUAUAUUGUUUCGCAUUUGCGAAAUCGUCGGGAGUGUCGUGUAAAGUGUCGCGCGUUUAAGUGCGGGAGUGUCGUUCAAAGUGUCGUGCGUCCAGUGAUCUUUCCUGACGACCCUGACAAAGAUCCAUUACCUACGAGGAGAUGGAAGUCUAGGAAAGGCAUCGUGCAAACGGCGAAAUACUUCGAGAUCAACAUUGUGUUCUGUCUGCCCACAUCGUGUCAGUGAGUGCACAUUGUAUCGGUAUCGGUGGUUUUACCUCCGGACGCUUCUACCACGGUUGGCUGCUCAUUGAACCACACACUUGAUUCAACGGCGCUUCAAUGAGCGAACACACAGCUAAUU